GGCGGACGGGUGAGUAAUGCCUAGGAAUCUGCCUGGUAGUGGGGAUAACGUUCGGAAACGGACGCUAAUACCGCAUACGUCCUACGGGAGAAAGCAGGGGACCUUCGGGCCUUGCGCUAUCAGAUGAGCCUUAGGUCGGAUUAGCUAGUUGGUGGGGUAAUGGCUCACCAAGGCGACGAUCCGUAACUGGUCUGAGAGGAUGAUCAGUCACACUGGAACUGAGACACGGUCCAGACUCCUACGGGAGGCAGCAGUGGGGAAUAUUGGACAAUGGGCGAAAGCCUGAUCCAGCCAUGCCGCGUGUGUGAAGAAGGUCUUCGGAUUGUAAAGCACUUUAAGUUGGGAGGAAGGGUUGUAGAUUAAUACUCUGCAAUUUUGACGUUACCGACAGAAUAAGCACCGGCUAACUCUGUGCCAGCAGCCGCGGUAAUACAGAGGGUGCAAGCGUUAAUCGGAAUUACUGGGCGUAAAGCGCGCGUAGGUGGUUAGUUAAGUUGGAUGUGAAAUCCCCGGGCUCAACCUGGGAACUGCAUUCAAAACUGACUGACUAGAGUAUGGUAGAGGGUGGUGGAAUUUCCUGUGUAGCGGUGAAAUGCGUAGAUAUAGGAAGGAACACCAGUGGCGAAGGCGACCACCUGGACUGAUACUGACACUGAGGUGCGAAAGCGUGGGGAGCAAAC
rnacentral:rRNA from 1 species